AACGAACGCUGGCGGCAUGCCUAACACAUGCAAGUCGAACGAGACCUUCGGGUCUAGUGGCGCACGGGUGCGUAACGCGUGGGAACCUGCCCUUAGGUUCGGAAUAACUCCCCGAAAGGGGUGCUAAUACCGGAUAAUGUCUUCGGACCAAAGAUUUAUCGCCUUUGGAUGGGCCCGCGUUGGAUUAGCUAGUUGGUAGGGUAAAAGCCUACCAAGGCGACGAUCCAUAGCUGGUCUGAGAGGAUGAUCAGCCACACUGGGACUGAGACACGGCCCAGACUCCUACGGGAGGCAGCAGUGGGGAAUAUUGGACAAUGGGCGAAAGCCUGAUCCAGCAAUGCCGCGUGAGUGAUGAAGGCCUUAGGGUUGUAAAGCUCUUUUACCCCGGAUGAUAAUGACAGUACCGGGAGAAUAAGCUCCGGCUAGCUCCGUG
rnacentral:rRNA from 1 species